UUUCGAAUAUUUUUCAUGCA
rnacentral:snRNA from 1 species